rnacentral:lncRNA from 1 species
CACAACCACACUUUCAUUAACAACGCAACUCAUAGUAUAUUUACAAUACUAUUCACAACAUACUUGUCUCCCACCUAUCUAUGCUAAGACAGGGUAUACAAAAGGAAUGGGAUCUCAGUCUACAUCCGGGUUAUACUCAAGAUCCCUCUCUGGAUCCUCUUCUUCUUCAAAAGUCUUUCCUCCCUUCAGGUUCCUCAUCCUCAGCUUCUCCUUAGGGUCCUGAAAUGGUUAUUCAAUAACCAAUGAGAUCACAUCUCAGCGAGUCCUACCCCCUAAGGCUCGAUUAGAAAGCCAAUACACUAUAGGCUGCCUAAACACGGCACGAGUUGGAGGACUUACCUUGGCCUCAGAUUCCAUCUGCAUAUUAGUACAGUUCAAUAGGCAUUCAAACAAUCAUAUCACCGAUCGAAGCAUCGAUCAAAUCGACUUAGUCGAUUUCAUGUCAGUCAGACCAUUCUAGGUCAUUCAUCCUACACCAAGCAAUUCCUUAGAUUUAGUGGCUUUACGGUCCCACCCGACCCUCUCAAGAUUUAGUGGCUUUACGGUCUCACCCGACCCUCUCAACAUUUAGUGGCUUUACGGUCCCACCCGACCCUCUCAAGAUCUAGUGGCUUUACGGUCCCACCCGACCCUCUCAACAUUUAGUGGCUUUACGGUCCCACCCGACCCUCUCAAGAUUUAAUUUAGGAAUAAAUCUUCAAUUCACUUCUAAACUACUUUAGCACCAAAUAAAGCUCAAAUAAAUAAACGGACUGCACCACGACAAUCAGCACGAAAUUCCGGUCACCGGCCAUCCCGGUUGAAUUUCCGGAAAAAUAAAUAAUUAAAUAAUUAAUUCGAAAAUUAAAUAAAUAAUUAUUUAAAAAAAUCCAAUUUAGGCUCAUAAUGCCGAAUUGGACGCCGAGACGAGCCCGGAAAAUUACCGAGACUCGUUCCAUAAAUAACAUGGCAUGUCUACUUGCUAAUGUCUAUUUCUAACCACCUAACAUGCAUCAUUAAGUCUCUAAUUUAAUUGACCUAAACUAAUCUAACCACCUAAUUGCAUUUAAUUAAAUCUAACCAACCUUAAGUAUAAUUAGCAAACUAAGGAAGCUUUAGUGAGUAAAACUCACUUGACAAAAGCGGAGACCGAAUCACCGUGACGGCGACGCGACGGUGGCCGAAAUUGGACUUUCGACAACACCGGCGGACUUGGACCGGGCCUUAAGCUUAGGCCCAACAAAUCUCAGCCCAACUGAGAUUUGUUCUUGCUUUAGGGCCAGACCCAAGUUGAAUUGGGCCUGCUGAAAUUCUUGACUGAACUAACUUGGUCUUCAAAUUGUGGACUGAAAUUGGGCCUCAAUCCUACGGGCUUGAAGACUGAAAUUGCUGGCCCAUUUGAAAUUAAACUGAAAUUGGGCUGCUCUCUUUGGGCUGAAAUAAGCCAAAUUUGCUGGGCUGAUGCUGCUGAAGAUGGACCGAAGAUUUUUGGCUUCGCUGGGCUGUAGAGUUGGGCCGCAAUCCACGAGGAGAAAUUUGCGUGGGCUGCUUCGGUCUUCGCUGGAGGGUGCUGCGACUUCAGCCAGUCAAUUGCUUCGGCAAUUGAGUUACACGAAGGAGAAAUGGAGGCGACGUGAACGAGGCAGCAAGCGGGGAAUUCAAUGAAGUCAACAGUGGAGGAAAAUCUUGCAUGAGCUGCAGGGGGGUUUGCUCGGUUGACUCAGAAUUGGAAGGAGCGGACGCGUAGAGAUCUCUUCUUCUUCGGUGGGUUGUUGUUCACGCGGAUGGACGGACGAAGAACCGUGGAGAUGUCCGCUUGAAUUUCUUGCCGUGUGGAGAGGAGGGCACCGAUUGUUGACUUACGGCCAAAUGGCAGCAACACAGAAGAAACUGCUUCGGUGGAGGCUUCGCUCGGUGGAGUUUCGCUGGCUCAACUUGGCAGCAGCUCGGUCAACAAUUGAAGAGAAGAAGGCUUGGAGUUGACUGGCGGAGCAGCUGGCAGGCGCUGGAUCUUCGAGAGACGUUGCUGCAGGGUGGAGAUGGCUUCGUUCUUGCUGGUGUUGACCGAGAGAUGUUGGUUGAUGGACAAGUGGCGAGGAUGAGGGGAAUUCGGUGGAUGGGCAGCAGCUGGUCUUCGCCUUCCGCUGGUUCCUGGGUUGCUGUGGCGUGCGAAAUGGAGAAAGUCUCGCACGAAGUGAGAGGGAGAGAGAGGAGAAGUAAUCCACGGCGGCUUGGGGAAGAGGAUGAGGAAGAGGCGGGGGCCUUUUGGCUUGAUAUUUU